GGGAGUGGCAAGCGUUAUCCGGAAUUAUUGGGCGUAAAGCGUCCGCAGGCGGCUUUUCAAGUCUGCUGUUAAAGCGUGGAGCUUAACUCCAUCAUGGCAGUGGAAACUGAAAGGCUUGAGUAUGGUAGGGGCAGAGGGAAUUCCCGGUGUAGCUGUGAAAUGCGUAGAUAUCGGGAAGAACACCAGUGGCGAAGGCGCUCUGAUGGGCCAUUACUGACUCUCAUGGACGAAAGUAUUAGAUACCCUGUAGUCCUGGCCGUAACGAUGAACACAUGUGUCGGGAAUACCCCUUCUCGUAGCAUCCGUAUUGUGUCCCG
rnacentral:rRNA from 1 species